UCGAACGCAGUAGCAAUACUGAGUGGCAGACGGGUGAGUAACAUGUGGGAAUCUGCCUUGUGGUUCAGGACAACAUUGGGAAACCGAUGCUAAUACUGGAUAAGCCCUUACGGGGAAAGUUUUAAUGCCAUAAGAUGAGCCCGCAUUUGAUUAGUUAGUUGGUGAGGUAAUGGCUCACCAAGACAAUGAUCAAUAGCUGAUCUGAGAGGAUGAUCAGCCACACUGGGACUGAGACACGGCCCAGACUCCUACGGGAGGCAGCAGUGGGGAAUCUUGCACAAUGGAGGAAACUCUGAUGCAGCGAUGCCGCGUGAGUGAAGAAGGCCUUUGGGUUGUAAAGCUCUUUUGUAGGGGAAGAUAAUGACUGUACCCUAAGAAUAAGGUCCGGCUAACUUCGUGCCAGCAGCCGCGGUAAUACGAAGGGACCUAGCGUAGUUCGGAAUUACUGGGCGUAAAGCGCGCGUAGGCCGUUGAGUUAGUUAAUUGUGAAAUCCCAAAGCUUAACUUUGGAACUGCAAUUAAAACUGCUCGACUAGAGUUUGAUAGAGGAAAGCGGAAUACAUAGUGUAGAGGUGAAAUUCGUAGAUAUUAUGUAGAACACCAGUUGCGAAGGCGGCUUUCUGGAUCAACACUGACGCUGAGGCGCGAAAGUAUGGGUAGCAAAGAGGAUUAGAUACCCUCGUAGUCCAUACCAUAAACGAUGAUUGCUAGAUGUUGGAAAUUUAUUUUCAGUAUCGCAGCUAACGCAUUAAGCAAUCCGCCUGGGGAGUACGACCGCAAGGUUAAAACUCAAAUGAAUUGACGGGGACCCGCACAAGCGGUGGAGCAUGUGGUUUAAUUCGAA
rnacentral:rRNA from 1 species